rnacentral:rRNA from 1 species
GAUGAACGCAGGCGGCGUGCUUAACACAUGCAAGUCGAACGGUGAAGCAGGAGCUUGCUCUUGUGGAUCAGUGGCGAACGGGUGAGUAACACGUGAGCAACCUGCCCCUGACUCUGGGAUAAGCGCUGGAAACGGCUGCUAAUACCCCAUAGGCUGAGGAGCAAAAGGAGGAAUCCGCCCAAGGAGGGGCUCGCGUCUGAUUAGUUAGUUGGUGAGGCAAUGGCUUACCAAGGCGACGAUCAGUAGCUGGUCCGAGAGGAUGAUCAGCCACACUGGGACUGAGACACGGCCCAGACUCCUACGGGAGGCAGCAGUGGGGAAUUUUCCGCAAUGGGCGAAAGCCUGACGGAGCAAUGCCGCGUGAAGGCAGAAGGCCCACGGGCCAUGUACUUCUUUUCUCGGAGAAGAAAAAAUGCCGGUAUCUGAGGAAUAAGCAUCGGCUAACUCUGUGCCAGCAGCCGCGGUAA